rnacentral:rRNA from 1 species
AGCACUGUAGUGCCAGCCGCCGCGGUGAUACGUAGGUGGCAAGCGUUGUCCGGAAUUACUGGGUGUAAAGGGAGCGCAGGCGGGAGAGCAAGUCAGCUGUGAAAACCACGGGCUUAACCUGUGGACUGCAGUUGAAACUGUUCUUCUUGAGUGAAGUAGAGGUAAGCGGAAUUCCGAGUGUAGCGGUGAAAUGCGUAGAGAUUCGGAGGAACACCAGUGGCGAAGGCGGCUUACUGGGCUUUAACUGACGCUGAGGCUCGAAAGUGUGGGGAGCAAACAGGAUUAGAUACCCUGGUAGUCCACACCGUAAACGAUGAUUGCUAGGUGUGGGGGGUCUGACCCCUUCCGUGCCGCAGUUAACGCAAUAAGCAAAUCCACCUGGGGAGUACGGCCGCAAGGUU